rnacentral:misc_RNA from 1 species
GAUGAAGAACGCAGCGAAAUGCGAUACGUAAUGUGAAUUGCAGAAUUCAGUGAAUCAUCGAAUCUUUGAACGCAUAUUGCGCUCUCUGGUAUUCCGGAGAGCAUGCUUGUUUGAGUAUCAGUAAACACCUCAACUCCCCUCUCUUUUUUUGAAAUGGGAGCUGGACUUGAGUGAUCCCAACGCUUUUCUCACCGAAAAGUGGCGGGUUACUUGAAAUGCAGGUGCAGCUGGACUUUUCUCUGAGCUAAAAGCAUAUCUAUUUAGUCUGCCUAAAAAACAGAUUAUUACCUUUGCUGCAGCUAACAUAAAGGAGAUUAGUUCUUGUGCUGACUGAUGCAGGAUUCACAGAGACAGCUUCGGCUGGCCUUUGUAAACUCGAUCUCAAAUCAAGUAAGACUACCCGCUGAACUUAAGCAUAUCAAUAAGCGGAGGA